GUUCAAACGAGGAAAGGCUUACGGUGGAUACCUAGGCACCCAGAGACGAGGAAGGGCGUAGUAAGCGACGAAAUGCUUCGGGGAGUUGAAAAUAAGCGUAGAUCCGGAGAUUCCCGAAGCAUUUCGUCGCUUACUACGCCCUUCCUCGUCUCUGGGUGCCUAGGUAUCCACCGUAAGCCUUUCCUCGUUUGAACCUCGCCCUUAACUUUACUUUACUUUAAUUUUUAAUUUAAGGCUAUGCCAUCCUAAGGUGCUGCUAAAUGAAAUGGAAGGAUCUUAUCAACGUCCAUGAAUGAUAAAUCAUAGAUCGAACUAACUGCCGAAUCGGAAAAAUUGGGUACUAUCAUAUAGCUUUGUUUCGGCUAAGGUCACGAGU
rnacentral:ncRNA from 1 species